UACGUAGGGGGCGAGCGUUGUCCGGAUUUAUUGGGCGUAAAGAGCUCGUAGGCGGUUUGGAAAGUCGGGUGUGAAAACUCCGGGCUCAACUCGGAGACGCCACUCGAUACUGCCAUGACUAGAGUCCGGUAGGGGAGUGCGGAAUUCCUGGUGUAGCGGUGGAAUGCGCAGAUAUCAGGAGGAACACCGGUGGCGAAGGCGGGUCUCUGGGCCGUUACUGACGCUGAGGAGCGAAAGCGUGGGGAGCGAACAGG
rnacentral:rRNA from 1 species